rnacentral:rRNA from 1 species
GUGGGGAAUUUUGGACAAUGGGCGAAAGCCUGAUCCAGCCAUGCCGCGUGCAGGAUGAAGGCCUUCGGGUUGUAAACUGCUUUUGUACGGAACGAAAAGACUCCUUCUAAUAAAGGGGGUCCAUGACGGUACCGUAAGAAUAAGCACCGGCUAACUACGUGCCAGCAGCCGCGGUAAUACGUAGGGUGCAAGCGUUAAUCGGAAUUACUGGGCUUAAAGCGUGCGCAGGCGGUUAUAUAAGACAGAUGUGAAAUCCCCGGGCUCAACCUGGGAACUGCAGUUGUGACUGUAGAGCUAGAGUACGGGAGAGGGGGAUGGAAUUCCGCGUGUAGCAGUGAAAUGCGUAGAUAUGCGGAGGAACACCGAUGGCGAAGGCAAUCCCCUGGACCUGUACUGACGCUCAUGCACGAAAGCGUGGGGAGCAAACAGGAUUAGAAACCCGGGUAGUCC